UACGAAGGGGGCUAGCGUUGUUCGGAAUUACUGGGCGUAAAGCGUAUGCAGGCGGAUCGUUAAGUCGGGGGUGAAAUCCUGGAGCUCAACUCCAGAACUGCCUUUGAUACUGAGGAUCUUGAGUACGGGAGAGGUGAGUGGAACUGCGAGUGUAGAGGUGAAAUUCGUAGAUAUUCGCAAGAACACCAGUGGCGAAGGCGGCUCACUGGCCCGUAACUGACGCUGAGGCACGAAAGCGUGGGGAGCAAACAGG
rnacentral:rRNA from 1 species